GCAAUGUGGUGUUUAGAUCGGCUAGUGGGACUGCCACUCCAUUCGAAGUCCAGCAUUGAGUAUGGUACCCUGGAUUUGGCCCAGAGAGGGUGAAAGGCCCGUGCGAAUGGAUGUUUCAGACAUGUCAGGCAGUUCAUCAGGUCGGUCUUCGAGUCGGGUUGUUUGAGAAUGCAGCCCUAAGUGGGUGGUAAACUCCAUCCAAGGCUAAAUACUGGCACGAGUCCGAUAGCGAACAAGUACCGUGAGGGAAAGUUGAAAAGUACUCUGAAGAGAGAGUAAACAGUACGUGAAACCGUAUAGAGGUAAACGGGUGGCGUCAAGCUGCAAGCCCAGAGGAUUCAGUUGGUCACUGUGUGCGUACGUCUUGUGUAUAUCAGUCGGUAAUAGAACGGGCAGUCCACUGGAUAACGGUGGGUUCGGUCGUAAGGCCGAAUGUAUGUUCCACCUCGGUUGGUGGUGUACGCUGUUCCACUAUUGGACUGGGUGGCCAAUGCACUUCCUCUGAUAUGGUGAACACCACGACCGGUGGAACUGCCAGUCUGGUAUAGCCAAGUUGUAUCCGGUUUGGCACUCGUGUCAGCUGGGUGCAAUCACAGGCAAAUUCGGUGGACGGUGGGCUUGCCCAUGUUAUCGGUCACUGUUUGUCAACGGGUGUGUCUGUCGGCGGUUGUGAUACUCGGCAGAUGACCUGGUGGGCUAUGCUGGUAAGAAUAACUGUGCAGGGCACCGGAGAUAGCGGUCUCAAAUCCGGUCGGCAUGCACUUCACAAGUGUCAAAUGGGGGCGCCAUUGCGGCCUGUCGGUUGCUGGGUCUGAUUGUCGUGUCGCCUGCGCAAAGUGGGUCCGACGGUGGCCUGGUAUCGGUCGGUGUCGUUAGUGGCGUUUCUGUGUGUCGGUUGGUGUGGAUCGAAUAGUCUGUGGUGUGGUGGUAGACGAGCUACCCGACCCGUCUUGAAACACGGACCAAGGAGUUUAACAUGCACGCGAGUCAUUGGGCUUAACGAAACCCAAAGGCGCAAUGAAAGUGAAGCCUGGACUUGUUCUCUGGGUGUGGUGAGAUCCUGCUGUUUCUCGCAUCUGCACUUGUGUAUUGUGUCAACACAAGGCAAAGA
rnacentral:rRNA from 1 species